rnacentral:rRNA from 1 species
CGGAAGGCCACUUCGGUGGUACUCGAGCGGCGAACGGGUGAGUAACACGUGAGUAAUCUUGCCCUUGGCUUUGGGAUAGCCACCGGAAACGGUGAUUAAUACCGGAUACGACCACUCCAGGCAUCUGGUGGUGGUGGAAAGUUUUUCGGCCAGGGAUGUGCUCGCGGCCUAUCAGCUUGAUGGUGAGGUAAUGGCUCACCAUGGCUUCGACGGGUAGCCGGCCUGAGAGGGUGACCGGUCACACUGGGACUGAGACACGGCCCAGACUCCUACGGGAGGCAGCAGUGGGGAAUAUUGGACAAUGGGCGGAAGCCUGAUCCAGCAACGCCGCGUGAGGGAUGACGGCCUUCGGGUUGUAAACCUCUUUCGGUAGGGACGAAGCGCAAGUGACGGUACCUACUAAAGAAGCACCGGCCAACUACGUGCCAGCAGCCGCGGUAAUACGUAGGGUGCGAGCGUUGUCCGGAAUUAUUGGGCGUAAAGGGCUCGUAGGCGGUUUGUCGCGUCGGGAGUGAAAACCAGGUGCUUAACACCUGGCUUGCUUUCGAUACGGGCAGACUAGAGGUAUGCAGGGGAGAACGGAAUUCCUGGUGUAGCGGUGAAAUGCGCAGAUAUCAGGAGGAACACCGGUGGCGAAGGCGGUUCUCUGGGCAUGACCUGACGCUGAGGAGCGAAAGUGUGGGGAGCGAACAGGAUUAGAUACCCUGGUAGUCCACACCGUAAACGUUGGGCGCUAGGUGUGGGGUCCAUUCCACGGAUUCCGUGCCGCAGCUAACGCAUUA